AGUUUUUCAAAGUAGUCACUGGGAAAGUAGAAACCUUCCUCUAAUGGAGAAAAAGAGAAUUGGUGUAGUGACAAAAUGCCCUUCUGUCUAAUAAUCACAAGUUUCGACGGCGACUCGUUUCUCUCUCCACUCUAUCUCCUAUUUCUGUAACUCUGCGAUCUUCGCUCCAUCUCUGCAGCACUCACCUCUUUCCUCCGCUCUCAUAGCUUUUUCUCGCCUGUUAUCUCUCUUGCAAAAACCAAAGGUUUCGAUUUUGUGUCCAAUGAUAUCCUUUGCUCUUACGAUGUCUACACCAACCAAGACUCUUCUAAUCGUCUUAACUCCGAUCUUGCGAUCGCUGCUACCAACUCGAAGAAGGAAUUCCAUAAAACCAAAUUGGCAAUUUCUAAAAUUAACAAAUUGGAGACAUGAGAUCAGAGCUGACUCAUGAACACAAGGAAGCUGAUGUGAAGCAGACGAGAGGGAAGGUUGCAAAAUUGAGAGAAGGAAAAGUUUACUAGAGAGAGAAAGCAGAAACGAUUACCUCUAUGAACUUGUUUUCGCCAUGGAUUCCAAGAUUGAGAAUCUCGAUUUAGCUUAUUUGGAUUAUUGUUCUAUUUUUCGAUCGAGAGAUAAGGAGAAGAAAUCCGUAACACAAAAAUAGAGUUGUGAGUUUUGUAUUGGAGGAGGAGUAAACAGCUCUGACAUGGCUUAUUCAAGGCAACCUUUGGAGGGUCAUAUGUGUUCCGAUCGAGCUGAAACUUGGUGGAGAGCUUCGUGGCACUAGUGGCUUAAGAUUCAACGGUGGGAUUAAAAUUUCAGCGAUUACUUUGUAUUUUAUUUGAGCUUCUUCAACCUGUUAUGAGCUUAGCUAGUUCAUAUGGCGUUUCAAAUCUGAUUUUGAGUUUUUGUUUUAAUUUUUUUUUUGAGUUUGUUAUCUGAGGUCAUAUAUGUUCUAAGUUACUAAAGUGGUGAAAUGAAUAUGUUUCUCUUUUACCCU